UACGUAGGGGGCAAGCGUUGUCCGGAUUUAUUGGGCGUAAAGAGCGUGUAGGCGGCCAGAUAGGUCCGUUGUGAAAACUCGAGGCUCAACCUCGAGACGCCGAUGGAAACCAUUUGGCUAGAGUCCGGAAGAGGAGAGUGGAAUUCCUGGUGUAGCGGUGAAAUGCGCAGAUAUCAGGAAGAACACCCGUGGCUAAGGCGGCUCUCUAGUACGGUACUGACGCUGAGACGCGAAAGCGUGGGGAGCGAACAGG
rnacentral:rRNA from 2 species